AAUCAUUUUAUUGUGUUUGUAGAUGGAGGAUCGGAAAAAAACUUUAUGAGAAAAUACAUCUCAGAAUGCCUGCUGUUGAAACCUACCAAGGAAGGAGGCGGAUGCAUGAUACAGGAGCUGAAAAAAAGAAGAACAGGGCGUUGUAGACACAUUGAAAGUAUAUAAUGGCGGAAACUGGGGACAGUGGGGUUACGAAGACUUUUAUUCUCCAGGCUCUUAUGCUUAUGGAUAUGACAUGAUGAUCGAGCCAGAUCAGGGCACGACCGGCGAUAAUACCGCUUUGAAUGCCAUAAAAAAUGUAGACCAUUCGAAAGUAAUUUCACUGAAUACGUGAUCUCAGAAACGUCACCAUGGGGAAAGUGGGUAUGAGAAACAACAUGCAGUGGUAUUGAUGUACUUGUUGGUUUCAGCUUGCAAGUAGAAGGAAACAGAAAAAAAGGCGACGACUCGGCAGCAAACUUUGUCAAAUUUGAAUGUGGUCAAUUUGGCUUCCCAUACACCAAUACGUAUGAAAUUGCUGCAGCUCCCGGACAUGGAAUAUGGGGUACAUGGGCCCCCAGCCGAAAAUGUCCGACGUUUACUGCCAUUUGUGGUAUAAGAACAAAAAUAGAGGCAUAUGUAGGCAAAGGAGUAAAUGAAGACGACAGCGCCCUUAAUGACGUCGUAUUCUACUGCUGCUAGUGAUAUGCUAAAUUAUGACAAAAUAAAUGUAUAUUCGCAUCUUU